rnacentral:rRNA from 1 species
UACGUAGGGUGCAAGCGUUGUCCGGAAUUAUUGGGCGUAAAGAGCUCGUAGGCGGUUUGUUGCGUCGGCUGUGAAAUCCCGAGGCUCAACCUCGGGUCUGCAGUCGAUACGAGCAAACUAGAGUGUUGCAGGGGAGACUGGAAUUCCUGGUGUAGCGGUGAAAUGCGCAGAUAUCGGGAGGAACAUCGAUGGCGAAGGCAAUCACCUGGGCCUGAACUGACACUGAGACACGAAAGCGUGGGUAGCAAACAGG